rnacentral:rRNA from 1 species
CAAGUGCCAUUCUUAACGGGAUGGCUUUUCAUUAGUGUAAAAAGCUUUUGGAAUAAGAGCUGGGCAAGACCGGUGCCAGCCGCCGCGGUAACACCGGCAGCUCUAGUGGUAGCAAUUUUUAUUGGGCCUAAAGCGUCCGUAGCCGGUUUAAUAAGUCUCUGGUGAAAUCCUGUAGCUUAACUGUGGGAAUUGCUGGAGAUACUAUUAGACUUGAGACCGGGAGAGGUUAGAGGUACUCCCAGGGUAGAGGUGAAAUUCUGUAAUCCUGGGAGGACCGCCUGUUGCGAAGGCGUCUAACUGGAACGGUUCUGACGGU